rnacentral:rRNA from 1 species
AACGCGAAGAACCUUACCUACUCUUGACAUCUACAGGAUCCUGCGGAGACGCGGGAGUGCCUUCGGGAACUGUAAGACAGGUGCUGCAUGGCUGUCGUCAGCUCGUGUUGUGAAAUGUUGGGUUAAGUCCCGCAACGAGCGCAACCCUUAUCCUUGUUUGCCAGCGAGUAAUGUCGGGAACUCCAGGGAGACUGCCGGUGAUAAACCGGAGGAAGGUGGGGACGACGUCAAGUCAUCAUGGCCCUUACGAGUAGGGCUACACACGUGCUACAAUGGCGCAUACAGAGGGCGGCGAGCUAGCGAUAGUGAGCGAAUCCCAAAAAGUGCGUCGUAGUCCGGAUUGGAGUCUGCAACUCGACUCCAUGAAGUCGGAAUCGCUAGUAAUCGUGGAUCAGAAUGCCACGGUGAAUACGUUCCCGGGCCUUGUACACACCG